GCUUUCGUGGCGCAACUGGUUAGCGCGUCCGACUGUUAAUCGGGAGGUUGUUAGUUCGAUCCUAGCCGAGAGCG